CAGUCGAACGGAGUUACGAUGAAACCUAGUGAUUCGUAACUUAGUGGCGGACGGGUGAGUAACGCGUGGAUAACCUGCCUUACACUGGGGGAUAACACUUAGAAAUAGGUGCUAAUACCGCAUAAGCGCACGGAGCCGCAUGGCUUAGUGUGAAAAACUCCGGUGGUGUAAGAUGGAUCCGCGUCUGAUUAGCUGGUUGGCGGGGUAGAAGCCCACCAAGGCGACGAUCAGUAGCCGGCCUGAGAGGGUGAACGGCCACAUUGGGACUGAGACACGGCCCAAACUCCUACGGGAGGCAGCAGUGGGGAAUAUUGCACAAUGGGGGAAACCCUGAUGCAGCGACGCCGCGUGAGUGAAGAAGUCAUUCGUGAUGUAAAGCUCUAUCAGCAGGGAAGAAAAUGACGGUACCUGAGUAAGAAGCCCCGGCUAACUACGUGCCAGCAGCCGCGGUAAUACGUAGGGGGCAAGCGUUAUCCGGAUUUACUGGGUGUAAAGGGAGCGUAGACGGCCAGACAAGUCUGGAGUGAAAAUCCAGCGCUUAACGUUGGAAGUGCUUUGGAAACUGCCGGGCUAGAGUGCAGGAGGGGCAGGCGGAAUUCCUAGUGUAGCGGUGAAAUGCGUAGAUAUUAGGAGGAACACCAGUGGCGAAGGCGGCCUGCUGGACUGCAACUGACGUUGAGGCUCGAAGGCGUGGGGAGCAAACAGGAUUAGAUACCCUGGUAGUCCACGCGGUAAACGAUGAUUACUAGGUGUCGGGGGGCUAGAGCCCUUCGGUGCCGUCGCAAACGCAAUAAGUAAUCCACCUGGGGAGUACGUUCGCAAGAA
rnacentral:rRNA from 1 species